UACGGAGGGGCAAGCGUUAUUCGGAAUCAUUGGGCGUAAAGGGCGCGUAGGCGGCUUGGCAAGUCAAAGGUGAAAUCCCUCGGCCCAACCGAGGAACUGCCUUUGAUACUGCUUGGCUCGAGGCCGGGAGAGGGUAGCGGAAUUCCCAGUGUAGCGGUGAAAUGCGUAGAUAUUGGGAGGAACACCAGUGGCGAAGGCGGCUACCUGGACCGGUUCUGACGCUGAUGCGCGAAAGCGUGGGGAGCAAACAGG
rnacentral:rRNA from 1 species